AGUAACGGUUGGUUCAAAAGUUUAGCGACUAUAAAGUAUAGAGGUGAAUGAUGCCUCAUCUAUCAAUUACUAGCGCGUGGUGUCGUGGAGCCGUGACUCGUACGUACGCGUGGUUGUUGACACGUCGUUCACCCAGUACCGUACAGCUCUCGGCCGCUCGACACGAGGGAACCAACGCCGUUCCGAACGCCCCGUUCUCUUGUUUUUUAUACCCCAUGAAUCAUACCAACGUAAUGGCUUAAAGCUGCGUUCUAACGCAGCGGCCUACUAGAAACAAGGCUUUCAAAGGUGCCAGUUUUACUAUCCUCCUACUCAGAACCUGAACAUCAAUCGAUUUUCCUCAAUACAACUGUAAAAGUAACGCUUUGGCAUUAGCGGCGCCUACUAGCGCGUAGGUAGAGUGGGUAGAGCCCUUCGUUGCCAGGUUCUAAUCGGGGCGUGCGGAUUUGCGAGCUGAACGCGGAGCGCGCUUCUCGGCGUUCUGAGUGGAGGAGGCAAGUGGAGCAUCAUGGCAGCUCAGUGUUUGAGCUAUAGUGUGUCACGCUGGACGUGGUCCCAGCGCGUCGUGUCGUGUUGCGGUACAGUGAGAGUGGCAUGGCAGUAACAUCGUGUCGCGGUUAGGGCGAGCGCGGUCGAUGAGCCCGACGCAGAGGGCAGCACAGAGCCGCCGCGGGGGGGCGCUCCCGCGGCCCCCGCGCCCUUUUCUCUACCCCGUCUGCUUGCGCACUCUGUAUAGCCGCGCCGCGCGCUCACUAAUGCGUCAUAUCGCCAUCGAAGCUAACGCGCUUUCUGCCGCUCUGUAACAAUACUACGCGCGCGCCAUGUGAACUUAUGUGUUAACUUAUAUAGAGGCGCGAGACGCGACGGCAUGCCCGGGAAGCUUGAUUUUGACUUCAUAAUGACUUUUGCCGUUAUGGACAGUGACUUUGGUGCCUGUGAGCAGAGGGACAGUAGAGUGGUACACGAGGUUGGCGCACGUGCUCACGUCUCCUUCCCGAAUCUGACGCACAACGGGCCGCGGCGCCGGCCGCCCGGAAUGCGGCCUCCGCCCCACCGCGCGUUGUCGGCGCCGAACGCGCCGCGCGUAGCGUAAUAAAUAAAGGCGGGGCGCGGCUGCGUGCGCGCGCACCCUCCCGCGCUCUCCGCGCCCUCGGGUCAUUGACUCCCGUGUGCCACCGCCGCCGCCGCCGACGCUGCCGAAGACAACAAUUUUCGGAAGCGGUGCCGCGCUCUUGGCCCUAGCGCGGUUCACCGGCCCGCGGAAACUCCAAUGUCAAUGCCGAUGCUAGGCGGCGUAGUACAAUUGUUAAAUGGCGUCAAAGGAAUAGAAUGAAGAAUGUCUAGAGCCCGGAGCUGUGAUGGCCGGUCAUUAAACCUCGCAUAUUUACAGAUAUGGACUCGUGACUUCCAGAAGACCAGUGAGCUGAGCAGAGACUAGACUUGAUUGAACGCAGUCUUUUGUCAACAUGAAGAUAUAACUUCGUGAGCUUCGGUCGACGAUUGAAAAGAUGAACUAAAGAUAAACAGCCUGCCUUAUGGAGCUGCUGCCGUCAACAAGCCGUGGAGCAGACCUAAGACGCGGGGAUACAAACAGGUAUGGCACACUUGGACAACGGUGGAUUAAUAUUAAUGACUACAUGAUACAUAAGUCUUAGAUAACGAUUGUUUUGUUGAAACUUAAACGCAAUAUCUGUAUGUUUUUACUGAAGAUUGUUAAUAAAAUCUAUGUUAUUGUUA